UUUAUCACACGCGCACGCAAACACAAGUGACAAAGAACGGAGGCAGAGCCGUACUAACUGUUCGCCGUUGGCGAACUACUUGGGCCAGCCUACGAGUUCAGUCAGGGUUUAUAUAGAGGAUCGUCCCACGUCUCCUAGCGAAAGAAGAGAAGCGAGAGUCACACGUCGAAAGCCAGAGAGAGAGAGACAGGAAGAGAGAAACUUGCGAGAGAGGAGUUAGUCACUAGCCGCUGCGGCGAGUAACUAGAGAUGCAAGUUACAGAGCUUUCGAGCAAGCGAGCGAGACGGCGAAUUAGGGACGGAAGAAGCGGACGGAGAGAAAAGAAAGUGCACUACCUACUGGGUGGUGAAACUAGGAAGAGAAAGACUCUUGAGCACACCGGCGAUACAAGAGUAGACAAAGUGCAGUAAAAGAGGCGAAGUUGACAGUACGACGUGGUGGAGAGAAAAGGGGGAGUCCGAUUCACAUCCUAGAAACGCACGGCUGCUAACCAAUGCGUCGCCACGGACAAAAAUUUACGCCGCAAAACCGCCGCGCGUUUCUAUUCUUGGACGACCCGAGACAGGAAGGCUGGGAAGGAGAUGGGAGAGCGCUAAAUGGAAGAAGCGGGCGGAACAACGACGGAAAUAUGCAUUUCUUCUUAUUAGCGCUGAAUUUAUGUCUAUCUCUUAGCUACGAGGACAUGAAUAUACGUAUAACGAGUUGUAAAUAAUAUUUUUUUAAACAUUAAAUAUUUUUUUCCUUAAAAAAAAAAA